GAUGAACGCUAGCGACAGGCUUAACACAUGCAAGUCGAGGGGCAGCGAGGGCGUAGCAAUACGCCUGUCGGCGACCGGCGCACUGGUGAGUAACACGUAUGCGACCUGCCCCCUACAGGGGUAUAACCCGUAGAAAUGCGGACUAAUCCCCCAUAGUCCUGGGUGCUGCAUGGCAUUCAGGGGAAAGGGUUUCCGGUAGGGGAUGGGCAUGCGGCGCAUUAGCUAGUUGGCGGGGCAACGGCCCACCAAGGCGACGAUGCGUAGGGGUUCUGAGAGGAAGGUCCCCCACAUUGGAACUGAGACACGGUCCAAACUCCUACGGGAGGCAGCAGUGAGGAAUAUUGGUCAAUGGGCGAGAGCCUGAACCAGCCAAGUAGCGUGCAGGACGACGGCCCUAUGGGUUGUAAACUGCUUUUAUAAGGGAAUAAAGUGAGUCUCGUGAGACUUUUUGCAUGUACCUUAUGAAUAAGGACCGGCUAAUUCCGUG
rnacentral:rRNA from 1 species